UCUGCUGGGAACCCAUUUUAAGACCCAGCUAAGCCCACAUGAGACUGAAUUUCCUGGCUUCUCCGGCAGUAUAUACCAGACUCCUUCUCUUCCCUGUCCACACCAGGAUUGCCCAAGGCUCCAGAGCAGUUUCGAGCCUCUUCUUCAAUGCUUUCCCACUCUUCCUCUGUGGACAGGCUAGUCUCUGUGGAGGCCUAAAGGCCAAAGGAGUUCUGAUUUCUCAAGCUGACCCGGCCCUCCUGGAGUGCCUCCUCUGGCAAAAAGCCUGGACCACUGCAGACCUUCCGUGCCUUGGCUUUCCCAGGCUGGACCACUGAAGUUUCUGUUCAUAGCCUAUGGAUAGUCUGGGAGUCUUCUAAUCCAACCGGUCCCUCACUGAAUCUGGAGCCCACUGAUUCAUCGAGAUGAUUCAUCGAGAUGCCCCAACAUUCCCGUUUCCACUCCCCCAGCCCCAGAGUUACCCGUACACACUGUUUGCACUCAACUUUUGACCUGGGAGCUGGUCAAAAGGUUUCAUGCUUGCACGGUUAAGUUGUUUACUGGUCUAGCCAUCUCCCUAGAGCCUUUACUCCCAUUUUAUGUGUGGGAAAACCAAGGCCGUAUAGAGCGUAGUGACAGCGAGUACAGGUAACUCUUGCUGUCCUGGACAUGCUAAGUCUCUACAAGGAUGACCCUAUGUAACCCUAUUUAUUCCUCACAGCCAGAUGAGGCAAGUUCUAUCAUUAUCCCGCCUUCAAAGAUCAGAGUGCAAAGACUUGCAGAUUCCCAACUGGAGGGCAUUUACCAAAAGUUGAGAAAUAUGGGCUGGGUGUGAGACCUGCUCUCAGAGGACUGAGUCUUAAAACAGGGAGAUCCAUCUUGCAUCAAAUUCUGGUAGAUUCCCAUGUUCUAUUCUUCUUCCUUGACAUUUACAUUUACAUUUAGGGGAAAUAAGCAUCAUUCAUUCAUUCAUUCUCCUGAAAAAUGACUCACUGACCGUGCUGUACAUGCCGGUCAUUGUGCUAGUGUUUGGGGAUCCCACAAUGAUCCUGCUACCUUCUUGAGGCUCUCAGUUGAGUGAUCGAGGGCAUAAGCAGGCAAGCGGUGACCUCACAGAGACCAGGUGGAGUCUGUCUCAAGGGUCCCUGAGCAUAUGGUGUCCUAUCUCCUUCCGACUGGGGAGGAAGUACCAGCUCCGGUAUAUUUUAUGGGAAUAAUGGCUUGCCUGAGGUGAGAGGACAAGUUGACAGGGAUUCAAGACACUUCCUCAGUCUUAGAAUCCCGGCCCCGUUCCUUGAUUCUUGCAGAAGGAAAGGGGUUGCAACCUGAGUGCUGGUCAAUCAAGUAAGAGCUAGAAAUAAAAGGUGUCCAGCCAGGAAAGAAAGAAGGGCGUGGCCACUGCUGAUGCCAAAGUCUUACAUAUGGGAGUUCCUAAGGGAUUUACAGAACUGUUUUGAGUAACAACAACAACAACAACUACUACUACUACUACUACUACUACUACUACUACUACUACUACUACUACUACUACAACCAAAA